UACCUCUUCAUGAAAGUGGGCCCAGCAGAAACUCUAUUUAUAUACAUUUUGUUAGCAUUCAAUUUAUAGUAGGUACUUCUGUGAUUAAAAAAAUUAUUUUUAAAGCCUUAAUUUUUGUUUAAAGAAGUAACCAGACUACCAGUUGAGCAAACAGAAGAAACAUCUGAUCCUGCCUGUGACAGUUAACAAGGAAGCGCUUGAUAUAAAAUCAGGAAUAGCCCAAAUUUGAGUGUCAAAUGGCAAAUCACUGAGAAAGGGAAAAAUGAUCUUACUAUGAGAGAGGGCCUGAGUUCAAAUCUUGGAUCUGCUAUUUACUAUGGGAAUUAAGGGGAUUCCAGGGUGGCAACUGGUGAGGAAUCCAGGUGGUAUCUGUAUCCUUUACUUCUAUAUCUAUAAGUUGAAAUUUUCUGAGCCUUUUAAUUGGUUGCAAGAGUAAAGGAGGAAAAAAAGGCCAUAUUAAAGAGCUGGUCCUCUUGGAAAGGGAAAGAGAACCAUCUACUGGAGGUUGAAGAGAACUAUGGAGCAAAGCUGCAGAACUACAGAGUACUAGAAAACAGAGGAGGGCCCCAUGAGAAAUGACUGCCACCUUGUGGGAGCUGAGAAAAGCUGGAAGAAGCAAAGUAAGAGAAAGUAAAAGACAAUGCCAGACAUAGGAAAAGGACCCCAAAGGACCAUUUCUGCAGGAGCAGAGGGGGACACCAACAUGGAGUAACUCUUGAUUUGUGUGGAACCCACGCAAGGAAUGACUUAGAUGAUACAGUCCACUUGGGAUUUGUCACUGGUGCAGAUAAAUGGUGGAAUCUUAUUUCAAUCAGAAAGUGCCAAGAACAAGAAAAGAUGGAGAAUUUUGAUUGUCGAGAGGACAGAGACUCAAACAGCUGGAGGCCCUUCAAUUCUCUUUUAGUGUCUAUCCAUCUAAGGAAAAAUGGCAUUAAGGAUUCCUCUCGAUUUGCAUGGAGGAAAGGGGAAAAUCAGAUUGAAAUUAAGAGCUAUGCUCUCAAAAUGACUAAAACCCAGAACAAUGCCCACAAAGGAAUAAACUGAACUUGAAUGUGAUAUGUAUAGCCUUUAAUGAAAGGCCAACUGGACCCAACUGAAGAAGUCAGAAGAGGGAUGAAGGCUAAAAAACAGCUUUUCCAUUCAGGACAUGUGCAAUUUAGGACAGCACAAAGUAAAGCUGGAGGUGGUUGGGGUUUUUUUGUGGGGGGUUUUUUCUGCUGUUUCUACUUGUUUUCUAGCUUAGAGUUAGGCUCUGGGGACUUCUAUCCCAGUCGGACUUGCUCUUUUUCAGACUAAAUAAAUUACUAGCUAAAAACA